GGGACUGUAAGUAGGUAAACAAACUCUGCCUUUCUGCAACUGCACCAGCAGUACAGGAGGUAUUUUUCUUUCAGCGCUGAACUUUCUUUGUUCCUGAAUACAGACUUCACUCGCCGGACGAGCAACUUUGUUUUCUUCUUUUUUCUACCUCCUAUUAUUUUUUCUUUGUGUUACCAACACAAUUUUGAAUUUAAAGAAACUGUUACAGAAGAUAACGUUUCCUUCCUGCAGAAGAAGACGGAUAAAACUCCGUGCUUAACUGAGAAGAUCACGUCUGUGCUCUACCUUCUCAACUUAGUCGAACCUCACUGAUUCCUGUUGCUGCCCCCAAAGAAUCAUCUGUGCUGUGGAACCUACCGGCAUCUUCAGAUCUGAGCCGAGAGCAACUCUAACGGACUUCCCAAAAGGACUGACGCAACUACUCUCUAUCAAAGCAACACAUAUAUUCCAGUGGGUCUGUUAGAGGGAGGGCCUCAGAAGAUCAAUGAAAGACCUCCGUACUACAUGGGCAGAAACUACCUGGAGUCACUGAUGGCCAGUUAAAACGUUGGGGACUGGGUCAGGUUUAGGUGAGCAGAAAACUGUCUUAAUCUGCAAGACGUAUCAUUCAAAAUCAAGCAACACUAAAAUGUAUUGUUAAAGUGAUAUAUAUUUACUUAUUACAAACUCUCACUUGGACCUGUACCAAAGUAUUUCAACUUUUUGCCCAAAUAUAUGGCCAACGCCUACAAGGGAAUUUCUACUUCACUACUAAAAAACACCCAGGUUUUUCUUUUGGCUCUAGAGAAUAAGAUUACAAGAAAGGACAUUAAUGUUUUAAAUGAUAAAGACUUUUGAAUAGUCUGCUUAUUUGACUUGUGGUGCAGUAGUAGACUAUAUGGGUGUUUGUGUUCUUGUACUGAAAUAUUUGCAAUAAACUCUUUUGCCACCCCCGA